UGUCUUUCCAUUUUCUGAUAUCCUCUUCAAUCUCUCUUUUCAGAGUGCCAUAGUUUUCAGAGAAGAGGUCUUUGAUUUCUUUCAUUAGGUUGAUUCCUAGGCAUUUCAGUUUUUUGGAUGCUAUUGUGAAAGGAAUUGUUUUCCUGUUUCUGUCUCAGUGAGUCUGUUGUUUGUGUAGAGGAAAGCUAUUGAGUUUUGUGUGUUGAUCUUGUAUCCAGCUACUUUACUGAAUUUGGUUAUUAAGUCUAGAAGACUUUUGGUGGAGUUCUUGGGGUCUUCUAUAUAGAGUAUCAUGUCAUCUGCAAAUAAUGACAAUUUGACUUCUUCAUUUCCUAUCUUUAUUCCUUUUCUUUCUCUCAUCUAAUUGCUGUGGCUAGUGUUUCCAAGAUUAUAUUGUACAGGAGUGGUGAUAGUGGACAUCCUUGUCUUGUUCCUGAUAUUAGUGUGAAGGAUUCCAGUUUUUGACCAUUUAGUAUGAUAUUGGCUGUUGGUUUUUCAUAGAUGGCUUCUAUCAGUUUGAGGUAGAGACAGUCUAUUCCAAUUUUUUGUAGGGUUUUUAUCAUAAAUGCAUGUUGGAUUUUGUCAAAUGCCUUUUCUUCAUCUAUUGAUAUGAUCCUAUGAUUUUUUCCCUUGGUUGUAUUGAUAUAGUGUAUUACAUUGAUUGAUUUGCAUAUGUUGAACGAUCAUCCCUGUAUACCUGGGAUGAAUCCCACUUGAUCAGGAUGUAUGAUCUUCUUGAUGACUUUCUGCAUUCUAUUUGCCAAUAUUUUAUUAAAGACUUUAGCAUCUGUGUUCAUUAGUGAGAUUGGCCUAUACUUCUCUUUUUCGAUUGGGUCUUUCUUGGCUUUGGGGAUCAAGGUGAUGCUUGGUUUCAGGAAUGAAUUUGGGGGUAUUGCUUCCCUUUCAAUUUCAUUGAAGAGUUUAAACAGUAGUAGCAGUAGUUUCUCUCUCAAUGUCUUGUAGAAUUCAGCGGUAAAGCCAUCAGAACCCGAGCUUUUCUUAGUUGAAGCUUCAUAUCCGUUAAUGCCAUGAUUGAGAACAUAAGAGAGUGCUGGCCUCACCAUAUUCUCCCUGGUCAACAGUGUAUGUUAUUUAAAAAUUUUUUAAAUUUACAUAUUUUACAAUGUUUAAUCAGUUAUGUUAAAGAAAUUGCCAUUAUUUCCUAAGAAGAAGAAGAGCAGGAAGAAAAUGAACUUUUGAGGUACUAGGUACUGGUAUGAAUCUUGGUUCUGACACUUUCUGUUUGUGACCUAACCUAGAGCUACUUGCUAAGCCUCUACAAGUCUCAGGUUUCUCAUUUGUCACUGUGGGAAUAUUUAGGGAGUCAUUCCCAGGAUUGGAAUAAUUUUGACAUACUAAAAUUUUUGCAUACAAGGACCUCAAAUGGUAGCAACUUCUGUUGCUAGGGAUAGUGAUGGUGAUAAUCCUUUCCAUUGUCCUUGUACUUCUAUUGGCUUGUUUGUAUGAAUUCUUUUCCAGGAAGUUGAAUUGUUUUAAACCCUUAAUGCAGGCAGAAGAGACCACUUAGGGUCAAGAACCACCUCCAUGGGAUCUAGCUGUUGUAAUUUAUUUAAAGGUUAUGAUGCUACAAGGUUCUAGGCAACAUUGACUCUAAAUAAAACUUGGCUUACUGUUUAUAAAGAAGAUGUCGCACAUACUGCAGUAUACUAUUAUUACCUUGGUUCUACCACACAGAGAAGCUGUUUGGGCUACCAGAGGCAUUGAGCUGUGUUUAUCCAGCUCCCUGAUUGUUUUCCACAAGAUCAGCAUUCCCAGGUGCUGUGCUCUGCCUUGGAAGGUAGAGUUCCAUUGCUCUUUCUGUACCCUUUUAGUAGAGAGUACUGGAUAGGGUGGCUCUUUGUAUCUCCUUUGUCCAUGUGUUGGGAAAUGGUUGAGAAUAGCAGACCUGCUCUGGUGAGGUUAUGUUGAUUCUGCCAGGUAUUCUCUUCCUGUCUUCCACUGUCACCUUAUGAUCAUCAUAACUUGCCUCUCACAAUUAAAAGGAAGAAGCUGUAUGGAGAUGUGAUAAAUUUCAUGUUUCAAAUUAGAGUGAAGUGUGGAAUGGAUAUUUAAUAAGUCUUGUGGCAUUGGCUUCCUUUGUAGCAGGAGCUAGAUCUCUUCUUCAUACAUUGCACACAAUUGUGUUUCAUAUGAAUUCUUUUUAAACACAAUUAAAAUAACACUAAGAAUAUAGACUUGAGCGUAAAAGGUCUUUCCAGAAACACUGGUAGAAAAGAAGACAUUGAUUAUGGCAACAAAUGUUUUAAGCCUCCCUUUUGUCAAAAUUAUUAUAUUUAUAAGCAAAUAACAAACUGAGACAUUGGCAACAUAAUUACUGAUUUCAAAAUAUAUCACAAAGCCUCAGUAAUUAAAACAGUAUGGUACUGGCAUAAAGAUAGACAGACACAUAGUCCAAUGGAAUGAAAUAGCCCAGAAAUAAAUCCGCAUAUGUGUGGUGCACUGGUCUUUGACAAGGAUGCCAAGAAAAUACAAAAGGAAAUGACAGUCUCUCCAACAAAUGGUGUUGGAAAAACUGGAUAUCCACAAGCGAAAGAAUGAAAUUGAACCCUCAUCUCACACCAUACAGAAUCUCAAAAGUAGAUUAAGGAUUUCAAUGUAAGACUUGAAACUGUAAAAGUCUUAGAAGAAAACACAGGAGGGGAAAGCUUUAGACAGUGUUCUUGGUAAUGAUUUCUUGGUAUGACCACCAAAACACAGGCAGUAAAAGCAAAAUUAGACAGAUGAUGCUGCAUCAAACUACAACUGUUCUACAGAGCAAAAAAACAAUCAUUUGUGUGAAAGGCCGCCUACAGAAUGGGAGAAAAUAUUUGUAAACCAUACCUCUAAUAAGGAGUUAUUUACCAAAACAAAAUCAGGAUCUAAAACAGAAAUUUGCUCUUUCACAUUCAUUGCAGCAUUAUUACCAUAGCUCAGAGGUGGGACCAAUCCAAAUUCCUAUCAGUGGAUGAGAGAAUAAAGAAAAUGCAGUAUAUACAUACAAUGAAAUAUGAUUCAGCUUUAUAAAAGAAGGAGAUACUAUAAUAACAUGGAUGAACCUUGAGGACAUUAUGCUAAAUAAAAUAAGCCAGUAGCAGGACAAAUGUGGCAUGAUGCCACUUAUUUGUGAUAUUUAAAAUAGCCAAAAUCACAAAAGCAGAGUGUAGAGUAGUAGUCCCUGAGAUGAUUACUAAGAAAUGGAAUGUUCCUGUUCAAGGGGAGUAGAGUUUCAGGUAUGCAAGAUGAGCAAACCUGUAAGCCCAGCACUCUGAGAAGCUGAAGCAGGAGGAUUGAAAAUUCAAGCCCAGUUUGGGCAAUUUAAGGACCCUGUCUCAAAAUAAAUAAAACUUAGAAAAAGGGCUGGGGAUAUGUGUGAAGGUCCUAGAUUCAGUCCCCAGUAUGGAAAAAAAACAAAAACAAAAUCCAGAGGUCUGUUAUAUAACAUUGUGCCUGUAGUUAGCAAUAUUGUAUUGUCCACUGAAAACUUUGUGAGGGUAGAUCUCAUAUUAGGUGUUCUUACUUCAGUAAUAAUAGAAGAAUACACAAAACACCAUUGGAAAGAAAAAUAUGUAGGACUAGGAAUCAUGAAUGAAAGUUACUCAAUUAAAAUAAUGUGCUUUCAGUUCUUGCCUAAUUUUUAAUGGUAAUAUCUACUAUGGAAAAUGAAUAAAGAGGAAUAGGUACUUAUAUAUACUGGUGAUUGAGUAUAAAUUAGAACUUCCAUGCAUAUAGCAAAACGCUUCUACUCAGGAACUCCAUUAUCAGAAUUAACAUUAGGAAAGUGAUUGAUUUACUUGUUUAUUGCUUUGUACAAUUGUAGGGAACAGGGAAAAGGGGACGUUACCAGAACCCGUGCAGUGGGUUUUGGUGCCCUAUGAGCCACAACAGCACAAGGAGAAUUAAAGAAUAAAGACAGGAAACAAGACUUAGAGAGGAAGCUGGGUUCUGGGCCUGAUCAGUGGUGCUCUGGGUAGCAAAGAUGAAGGUACCCUGAGCUUGCCACUUAUUGGGUUCAUAGGGAGUAACAGAUGACUCAGAAGGUGGCAAUAAUCCUGGAUUGAUGAGGAUCUUAUAAUCAUGUCUUGGAGUGUGGUGGUAAUCCUAUAUCCAGGAAGAUCUUAUGCUGAUGAGGAUCUUAGGUCCAUGAGGUGUUUAAGUUGAUUAGGAAGGUAAGAUGAUCAAAGACAUUCUUACAACAGUAGGUGGGAUAAGUUAAGCUGAUAAGGAAUUUGUUCCUCCCCAGGUGAGACCUUUCUCUUACUACUUGGUUCUCAAGGAACCAGGAUGUCUUCAGCUGAUGUAAUCUUGCCCUUGAGUGUCACAGCAUCACAGGACCAUUGAGGUCUCAGCUGUGACUUGAAGCAAAAAUGGAGUUUUUUGGCAUGUCAUAGCCAGCAUGUAGGCAAGAAGACUUAGGCUUAAUCAUAAUUUAAUUGUGAAAUGAUUUUUCCCCAAAAUUAUGUAGAAUGGCUCCCAACAUACAAUUACUUAAAAGCAGGAAAAAUUGAAAACAGCCUGUAUGUUAUUUAAAUUAUGUUCACUGACACUUUAAUGACAUUUUGAAUGCCAUCAAAAUAACAGCAGUGGUAGCAAACUUACGGCAUGGGUGCCACAGCCAGCUGUUGGUUAUCACUGAAAGCUCUAGAAGGUUUGCCAUCACUGAUACAGGGAGUUAUUUAAUACCUUGUGAUGAUAAGUGUGAAAUUUUUAAGUUUAUCAACUUAUUUGAAGUUUUAAAACCAGUUACAGAACAGUAUGAAGUAAGGGUAAUUUAAAUUUUACAGUAUUUUAAAAAUAAUUCUACAAUGAACAUAUGAGGGUUUUGGUUUGUUUUUGAAAACUAACAUUGUACAUGAAAUGAAAGCAGUACUGCUUCUUAGUUAAGAUCUUGUUUUGGGAGACCAAAGAAAUAGAAGGCAAUUUAACUGUUCUUGAAGGCAUUAUAAAAUCUUAUGGUGGAU
ensembl:lncRNA